GCCCUCGUGGCCUAAUGGAUAAGGCAUCGGUCUCCUAAACCGGGGAUUGCGGUUCGAAUCCCGCCGAGGGUA
rnacentral:tRNA from 1 species